rnacentral:lncRNA from 1 species
CCAAAUGUGCUGAUGCUGCGAUUAAGUUCUCCAUGGGGUUGGAGAAGUGACCCUGUGGUAUUGGUAUAUAAUUGGGCGGUGCCAUAUUGCCGUGAGGAGGUGCCAUCCCCUGAGGCUGGACUGGACCUCCCGCUCCGGAUGUAAUAAGCUGAUUCGCACCUGGCGGGUUACUUGGACCGGCCCUGGGUGUAGCAAAGAGAUUCCGAGGAUCAUAAUUCUGAGGUAAACGGGACUGAGUUUUCUGAUGUCUCCUCCUCAUUACCUCAUUAGAUGCGUUUAAGCUCAACAUGAGCUACAAGGCCUCUGCCUGAAGUUGCUGCGCUCGUACGUCCAAAGCCGCCCGCUCUGCUGCUAAUCUAGCGUCCUCGGCUGCUAAGGUUUCCUUGACCCGGGCGAUCUCGUCGCGAACCUGUGCCACCUCUGCCUCAUGCUCAGAUUGGUUCGCAGGGAUGACUGUAACAGUUAACAAAGUCGUAAACUUAUCCAUGAGAUCCAUCAGCAUCUGAGCCGGUGAGCGCACGGGCCUCCUGGCCCGGCUGCUCCUAACCCGGACGUUAUCGCAGCUGAGGCCGUAGAGUUUUGGCCGGGUUGAGUACCAGCCAUGAAGACUCUUGCCCAGUUUGGCGACUCUGAGAGGUCCGGAAUAGUGCUGCCAUCGGAACAACCCCCAAGCACACCAUCUUGAACUUGAUACAGCGAAUCUGUUGAGCCGGCGGAUGAAUCACCGUUAGAGAGGACGGCUGGCUCACCAUCACCUUCAGAUCCUUCAGGAAGUUCACCUCCAUGGAUGCAACCCACAAAGGCACGCUUCACGACGGGUUGAGCUCGGGCGGGUUUCGCACGAUGAGCCGUCUCGACGAGGUCGGUGCAGCUGUCCGGCUCAGGGCCUGGCUCACCAAUCCGACCGAUGAAGACGUGAAUUCCGCCAAAGGGGACCCGGUAGCCAUACUCAAUUGAGCCGGCGUCGGGGCCCCAGCCUACGUCGUCGAUGUAGAUCUUGCCGCGACGACUCUUGGUCAUCCGGCCAACUGCGUAUCCCUUGAGCCCUUCGAAGCUGCCCUUCAAGAACUCAAAUCCACCGUGCGCUGGCCCCACGGUGGGUGCCAACUGUCGUGGAAUUGUCACGACAGAUGUCCUCUUGCAAGGACUUGAUCGUGGAGCUAUCGCAACUAGGAAGCUUAAAGGGGUUAAUCGGGACAAAGGACACGCGAGGUUUAUACUAGUUCAGCCCCUUACGGUGAAGGAAGGCCUACGUCUAGUUGGGUUGGAAUUGCUUGAGGUUUCGAUGACCGGGGAGCGAGAUAUGCUAUGCCCGGUUCUCGAUCUCUUGUUUCUUCUGUCCCUAAGCCGCCAGCAGGUCAUCCCCUUAUAUACACGGAUUGACGCCCUACGGCUUACAGAGUCCCGGCCGGCUCAUAAACAGUGUCCGGCUCGGUGACUAGUUAUUUCUAUCUUACAAUACAAGUCGCGCCCUCAUGGCGGUUUAUCACCAUGGGCCAUAAAGCGUCUGUGGGCCACUAGACCCUUUACUGAACCGCCAUCUUCACUCUUGGUCUUGGGCUUCAGAUGGGCUUCUCUUUACGUAACUCGCCCCCCCUGGGCGGUUUAGGUAAAUAGUUAUAUCUCCAACAGUAGCUAGCUUCAUCCAUAAUGCCGCAGAGGGGGCAUGUCCCGCGCGACGUGAGAUGCCUAUACUGCAUGCACGCCGUAGUAGCCAACGCACCAGUCGCCGCUCGCCAAGCCGUAUGUUCCAUGCGUAAAGGAACACAAGAGUUCCAGAUAAGUUGGCUACCUAAUGGGUAGAUCAAAUAGAACAUGAUUUUUUCAUAAUUUUACAUUCAUCGACAACACAUUUGACAGAAAAAACAUUCAUCUCAACUCAAUAAAAUAUAGAUGAGUACAUGACAAUUAUCUUAAUUCAAAUAGACAAUUCAUAACAACUUUAACAUAGGUUCAUGAGUUCACGACAUACUUUACGGGUAAGGUCCAUAUGUUAGUAUAAACGGGCAGGCUAUACCCAUUACUUAACGGGUAGGGUACGGGUACUAUCCAUGGGUAUAAAAUUGUGUCCAUACCCUACCCAUGCGGAUACGGUAUCCGCGGAUGCCCGUACCCAUGGGUAAAGUUGCCAGGUAAUAUCUAUCUAAUUAUCCAUAAAUAUUACCAUGACAAAAAAAUUGUCCACGUCUGCCAGUACUGCCUUUUGCAGAUAAAUCAACCAUGCCCCUGUCGCAUCGUUGGUUUGCCGCUCCGGCCUCAUCGCGCAAUAUCAUCGCAUGACCUCACUGCGCACGCCUCACAACAUGAUCUCAUCGCGCGGGCCUCGCCGCUCCGGCCUCGUCACCCGACGGACUCAGGCAACACCGCACGAGCUUCAACACGUGAACAACAAUCCACGAAACCUCACCGCAACUGGCUCGAGGGCUACGCCUCACCUCUUACGGACACAUGCAAUAUUUAUUUAUUUAUUUUUCUCAUCCAUGUCAAAAAUUCAUGAGAAUUAAUUUCUGCCAGUAUACUCUAUGUAUGUAGAUUACAAUCAGGACAUGGCAGUCUAUGAGAGGUGAGGGUACCUACCACCGGAUGGUAGGAUUUACUACCAGUAUUUACAAGAUGUUUGAACUGCCAAAACGUGUUAUAUUUAGAAACAGAGGAUGCGAUUUUUAUAUAUACAUAAAUGAGAUCAUUAUAAUCACAUAUAAUUUUUAAUAAUAAUUAUUAGAUACCUCAAAGUGAGUUGCGUCAAAAUUCUAUUUGAAUAUGUAUUUAUAUUUUUUGAGGGGAUACUGAACUAUUUUUACUAAUGAUACCCCGCACGUUGUUGCGGGAAUAUUUUGUAACAUAUCUCAAUGUGAUUCAUUGUAUGAAACAUAUAUAAAAGGAUAAAAUUGAAACUACAUAUACUUUAUUAUGUUUGAUCACUAUAUAGUUGUAAAAUGUUUAUUAAAUAUAAAUAGAAUAAUAGAAUAGAAAUUCACAUGUUGAGAUAGGUCUUUUUUUAUGCAGGUUUCAUGAUGAAGUGGCAUACUUGCAUGUUGCGAGACAUAUGAUAGUGAGUGUGGGGUUUUUCUCGUGUAUGUUGUGUGAUGAUGUGGCAUGCUUGCAUGUUGAGAGAAAUAGUUAGUGGGGCUACCUAUUUAGAUAUACUCAAAAAUAGUUAGUAGAAGAUAACGCAAAAAUAACUACGCUGCCUGACUGGGCCUGGCCUAUUUAGGGGCGUGCCCACACACACACGCACAUUGGACACUAACGGGCCCAACGAACGACAGAUACUCGAUACCCCCAGCCCGCUAGGGUUUUGCUGGCAGGUAUAAAAUACCCCUUCUUCUCCUCUCCCAUUCCUCCCUCCUAUCAACUCGACCACAGAGCGGCGGCGGCGGCGGCGGCAGCGGAAGAAAGAGGAGAGAGCUCCAGCCAUGGUGCACGUCAACUUCUACCGCAACUGUAAGACCGCGCCACGAUCCUCCUGUCUCCCCUACCCUCUUGUGCUCUCUGCUCAAUUGUAUUCAGUCAUUUGUGUCUUCGUGCUCGCCGUGAUCUGAUGGGGUGUUGCUCGCAUAGGCUUAGUUGCAGCAAGUUGCUAUCGGUUAGCCUUCUGCUUCCUGCUACAGCAGCUGCUUGCCGCAACGCAGAGCUCAGAGAUCUCUUAGCUGUGGCGUCUUACUUCGGGCAUAGCUGGUGAGAGGUCAGAGAUUCGUUCCCGUGAUGUCUUGCGUGCCGAGUUGCUGUGAGGCGAGGGGGAAGGUUGAUUAGCGAGUGCAUGAUUUGCGUCGGCGUGAUGCCGUUGUGGGAUGAGAGGUUUGUUUGCAUAAGAUUUUGGCCUAUCUUUUGUUCGGAAUACCUGGAUUUGAGUCGUGCCUGGCACGAGGACUGCGCCCUAGAUCUAAUUAAAGGUGUCUUACUUGAGCACUAGACAUUUGUUUACUCUCAGCUCUGUCAGCACGCUCAGUUGGUAGUCUCGUCAGAUUUAAACAAGUUCCUUGUUUCAGGGAUAUUGAUAUGCAGCCCAUAGCCAUCAGGUUUACUGAUAAAUUUAGAAUCAGGCCAGCCGAAGUGAAGUCUAAUUACCUAUAUAUCUGUUUCACGGUGGAAACUAUUCACCUCCUACUGUUACUGGUUCUUCAUGUGGGAGCUUUGAAUUUGGUAUAUAUACUAUGCCACUAGAAUAGUCACAGAAAUGAUGUUGGUGCUUCAUAAUGGAGCCACCUGAUUUUGUUGUAUGCCAUAGCCUAGAUGUUGCAUAUUCUUUUUUGUGUGAACAUGUAAUUCAUACUACAUACAAGAGUUAUAUGCAUGUAUUCAACAUCUUUGUUCAACAUAUAAACAGGUAUUAGCAAGAUAUACAACCUACCAAUACCAUUAUGUUGCCACAAAUACAAUAUUGACGUGGCAAUCAGACCAUAAACAUGUGCAAUGAUACAAGAUAGGCAGUGCGGUGAAUGUAAGUACAGUAGAUUUCAUAAAGAACAUGCCACAAUAAAUAGAGUACAUCCUGAAACAUGAUAAAAUUCAUACUACAUACAAGAGUUAUAUGCAUGUAUUUGUUCAUAUGCUUUUAUUUCCUAUGUGCUUUUAAUUAAAUCAGAUCAAUUCUUCUGAUUUCAUUCCGACCAGAAACUUGUGAAUGUGUUAUUAUAAUUGCCUGCUUUUAAUGCACUUGGACAUAGUGGCAUAUGUGGUUCCACUUUGUACCUGGCACUUGCUCUAUGCUACAAUUUGCCCAUGUUAUGUUUUUACUGCAACUCAUGCCUUGUUUUCAUAAAUUUAUUUUCUUACUAUGUAUUUGCAAGUUAAAUGUUUUCUCUUGCAGAUGGUAAGACAUUCAAGAAACCAAGGCGUCCUUAUGAGAAGGAGCGUCUUGAUGCAGAACUAAAGCUGGUCGGUGAAUAUGGACUGAGGUGCAAGCGUGAGCUCUGGAGGGUUCAGUAUGCACUGAGCAGGAUUCGUAAUGCUGCAAGACACUUGCUCACACUGGAUGAGAAAAAUCCCCGCCGUAUCUUUGAGGGCGCGGCCCUUCUCCGUCGCAUGAACCGCUAUGGUCUCCUUGCUGAGGGCCAGGAUAAGCUUGAUUACGUCCUUGCCCUGACUGCUGAGAACUUCCUUGCAAGGCGCCUUCAGACUCUUGUCUUCAAGGCUGGCAUGGCAAAAUCCAUCCACCAUGCCCGUGUCUUGAUCAGGCAACGCCACAUCAGGUAUGCUUCUGGUAUAUUUUUCUUGCAAUGCAUGUUUUGGCAUAUGGUUCCAUAAAUUUGCAUGUUGAUCUAGAAAUCUAAAUGGUUUGCACUAGUUGUUUAAUACAGGCUACCUGAUACUGGUCUGUUACUGGUUAUUACAUGCAUCUAUGAAUUACAUGUUGGCCUGAUACUGGUUACAUGCAUGUCUGAAUUUUAUCAUCUUUCAGGAUGUACUCUAUUUAUUGUGGCAUGUUCUUUAUGAAAUCUACUGUACUUACAUUCACCGCACUGCCUAUCUUGUAUCAUUGCACAUGUUUAUGGUCUGAUUGCCACGUCAAUAUUGUAUUUGUGGCAACAUAAUGGUAUUGGUAGGUUGUAUAUCUUGCUAAGAUGUUGAACCUGUUUUCUGUAACUGAGAUUAUGUCAAUAUUGUUAGUCUUUGCUUCUUGUGUUAUACUGGUUGUGGUCUGGUAUAUAUGUGGCAUUUGCUUUGAGUUUUCAUUGUGAAGUGAUAUUUUCCAUGAAUAUUCCUGCUUGUUCACUUUGUGAAUGAAGUGUUAAAAUAAUUUUCUUGAAACCAUAUUGCAGGGUUGGCAGGCAGAUCGUCAAUGUCCCCUCGUUCAUGGUGAGGGUUGAAUCUGAGAAGCACAUCGACUUCUCACUGACAAGUCCAUUCGGUGGAGGCCCUGCAGGCAGGGUGAAGAGAAAGAACCAGAAGAAGGCAAGUGGUGGCGGUGACGCCGGUGGUGACGAGGAAGAGGAAUGAGGAACUAGUAGCUAUCACCUUAUAUUUAUCAAAUGUUGGUGUUAUGAGUACUUUAGCUGAGAGGCCUGAGACUUUCAUGGGUUAUCCUCUUGUCAUUUUGUCACUUUAUCACUGUUGUUAGCAUGUAUGCACUGCUUUAUGUUUGGAGCUAUUUGGUCGUGAUGAAAGUUAUCUAAAAAUGUUCUUGACUAUGACCUGGAAUCCUCCUUCAAUUGCUUCUGUUGGGGUGGUUGUCUGAUAGUUCAUAGGAAUCAACCUUUCUUUUCGAGUAAAUGAAUUACUUUGAUGAUCCAUUUGCUGGUUCAUAGGAAUCAACCUUUCUUUUCGAGUAAAUGAAUUACUUUGAUGAUCUAUUUGCUGGUUUGUUUCCACGAGUUGUCCACUCCAGCGGGGAUCAAUA